rnacentral:rRNA from 1 species
UACGUAGGGUGCGAGCGUUGUCCGGAAUUACUGGGCGUAAAGAGCUCGUAGGUGGUUUGUCGCGUUGUUCGUGAAAACUCACAGCUCAACUGUGGGCGUGCGGGCGAUACGGGCAGACUGGAGUACUGCAGGGGAGACUGGAAUUCCUGGUGUAGCGGUGGAAUGCGCAGAUAUCGGGAGGAACACCGGUGGCGAAGGCGGUUCUCUGGGCCUGUUCUGACGCUGAGGAGCGAAAGCGUGGGGAGCGAACAGG